AAAAAAAAAAGUGCAUUAAUACAGUCAUGGGACCAAUAUAAACAUGUAUAAAUAUGAUGGGCUGAACCAUUUCCUUUUCAUGAAGUGUAUCAAUAAGUAUGUCACAAAGUGAAUCAACUAAUCGAUAUGAUUUAAAACAAGAAAUUGGUUCCAUAGGUUUUUUUAAAGAACAUAAGUUUUUGUCACAUUAUGUAGAGCUUAAUAUGUUUAUAAACACAUCAUUCAAAUUAUUAGAAAUAAAUCGAAAGAAUGAGUUACUUGCUUGACAUGGUUCUUUGGUGAGUGUAUCAUUCAAAAUCAACAAGGUUGAUUGAUUUGAUGACUGGUCCGGUGGUUCUUCUUGCAGUAGAAUGUGUUGGUGCUAACUUCAUCAUCUUUAGUAGCAUGUAAACACAUCUUAAGCUAUUAAUCUGGGUGCAUGUUAUCACUCUUUGCUAGUUUCUCUGUUUUCUCUACAUUCAAUAUUCUUUGGGAUGUAGUCUCUCGCUCAUCACGAUAUUCUUCUAUCGUACUUGUAUCUUUCUCGCCACUUAAGACUAAAAUCAAGUGCAUUAUACUUACAAUAUAAUCAUUGAAAACAAAAUGUUUGAAGUUACGAUUAAUUAUUAAAUUAUUCCAAUAUCUAACAAAGUUGUAGGUUUCACUUACUAGGAUACCAUGUAAGGUGUUUGGCCUUAACUCAACCUUAAUGAAAGUGAUAUUAGAAGCAAGAUCGGAUGAUGUUGAACAUAGUUGUGCCUUCACACGUGCUUUAAAGGUUGCAUGCUCACACGUCUUGUUUCGGUAAAGUUGUGAUGAUGUUAUUUCCGAAAGUUGCUCCUCAAGACUUAUGUCAUUUUCAACUUCCUUUGGAGUUGCUACAUGGUGGAUUAAUACUUCAGCAUUUUCAUCCAUCAUAUGACUUAUACCUGCAUCGGUAACCUUUGGUUAAAACAAGCACAUUAAUCUAGAAUUGGAAAUCUCUAAACUUGAUCCCAUUAGACAAUCAUUUGAGUUAGAUGCAUUAAAUUUCAACUCUAUUAAUGUGUUAUCAUCUACUUUUCUUUCACGACAGGUUGCAGCAAAGUGACCUCUCUUAUGGCAUCUAUAACAUGUCUGUGCAUUUGAUUUUAAGGAGUUAAAAGGCUUACCUUGCUCGUGUUUAUCUUGCGGCUUAAGUAAAGGUAUGGGGUUUGAUUCUUCUUUUUCACUUGUUCCUUUCUCAUUCUCCUUGGAUUAAAACAAUACCUUUGCAUGUGAUAUAUCCACGUUUUGAUUGGAACUAACACGUUGAAGUGUUGUGUUCUCUUGACUCGUUUUCUUUGAGGGAUAAGUAUUUUGACAGGGCUGGGAUAGCAUAUGAGGUGCAUAUAUCUCCCUCAUAAGCAACUUUAUUUGCCCCCAUGUUAUAAGUGAUGGCUCCUUGUACCAUACUCUAUCUCUUUCCUCUCGGUUCCACUAACGUUUUGCGCUUCCCAUGAGUUGUUCAAGACAGUAGUUGAGCCUCUCUUCUUUGGGAAUCUAAUAGUACCUAAAGUAUUUGUCCAUGUUGAUUUCCCAUUAUAGAUAAUCUCUUUCAUGUCCUCCAAAUUCAAAACAUCCAGGUCCAAAAUACUCAUAACCAUUGUCUAGAGAUAACCUGAAUUUUUUCUUCUGGGUUCGGGUGGGGUUGGAUAGAAACGAGUCUCUUCUAGCACCAUGUUUUAGUUCGCCUCCUCUUAGUUUACUGGUCCUUGUGAUGCGGACAUCAGAACUAGAUCAGACCAAGAGCAUACCAAACCGGUCUACAUGGAUUAUUUUGGAGAUUCUUUGUCUAAGUGGAGUUCUGAUCAAGUACAAUGUGAAGGGUUAAUUAUUCACCAUGAUAUUAAACCUAAGAAGUCUGACAGUUCAAGAGGGAUAAAAAAUCAGCAAGUCAAAUCACCUUAUUAUCGGGAUAUGACUGUUGCACUCUUUUUCCCUUAUCUAGGGUUUGUCCCAAUGGGUUUACCUAGAAAGGUUUUUAAUGAGGCAACACCAAGUCAUCAAGGAAUCAUUCACCAUCCAUAUGAUUCAAAGAUGAUAGCUGAUGUAUAUUCUGAUAUACUCGCGGACAAGCAUGCUGAACUACUCGCUGACCGACUGCCUGAACUACUCGCUGACCGACUACAUGAACUACAUCAGAUUGUGAGCUGUGAGGAUUUGAAGUCUUUUAACACUUGGAUCAGCUAUGAAGGGAGUCCACAUACUCAUUUGAAUCACUACAAGGCCCCAGCCUAUGUAGAACAGCCCAAGAGAAGACCCAAGUCCAAACCACCAUUUGAAUCAAGGCCAUUGAUCUACUUGGAGCAUGAUAAGAAAACUCUCAUAACCUUCAUGAGGACAUGUUCCAAAGCUGCAUAUGGAAACUAGGAGAACUUUUAGGCCACACAAGACUUGUCCCACACGAUCUUUGGUACACCUUACCACACAAGAAGCCAAUGAGUCACAACUUGCCAUAUAUGGAGCAAGAGGAGAUCAAGCUUCAAAGACUCCUUCAUUAUUCACUUAUGCAUGUCUUGAAGCUUCUUACAAUGAACCUAGAUACUCCAAAGAGUCAUGGAUUCGCACCUAAGCUUUCAAGACUCAAGGCAUCUCUCUACUUGCCUUAUUUUGUCGAUUUGGUGCAUAAAGUCCCAACGGCAAGUGUAUUUAAUUUUGUGAUAUUUGUUUCUUGUUUUACAUUAUUAGCACGUGUAGCUGAGCCUAUAUAAGCUCAUUAGUUUUUUCAUUUGUAAUCACCCUUGAUCAAUUUAAAGUAAUAGAAAGUUUUCUUCUUGUCAAAGUUUGAGUCUUUGUCAAUCUUGUUCUUUAGUUCUAUGUGAGUGAGUCACUUAGUGCUUUAGAAACCUGCGUAUUAAGUUUUUUGAGUGAUUCAACAUCCUUUAUUCUUCCAUUGAUCGAGUGAGUCGAUUAUCCCACCGAUUGAGCGAGUCAAUCACCUAAACUAUCCCCUGAACCACCCACUGAUUCACGAGAAAGUGCUUCUGGCCAACUCGUGAAUUCCACCUUCCGCAAGCUAAGCUUGGAGUCUCUUGAUCAUCAAGUGACAUAAAGUUUUGAGGAGAUCAUGUCUACCACUCGGAUGUGGUUCAAGUCGCAUUGAUGAUCCUUAAAUCACUUCUUUAUACUACAUGUGGGUUUGUGCAGAAGUACGUAUCUCUUGAUUUUUCUUGACAUGAGGCUGUACGCACUCGAUGUAACAAGAUGUGAUGGUCGGUCUUCUCUUCACGCCUUGGACAGUGUCGAUAAUGGUAGUGUUUCAAUGUUUUUGUUCUAUACUCCAUGUCUUUGCCCCACUUAAAGUAAUCAUCUUUUCCUGAAAAAUAUAUAAUUUGGGUCAAUAAAGAUUUCAAACCAUAGCUGCAAAAAUCAUCAUUAAGUUUAAUCCAUGGUUAAGAAUAGCCUUUAUUGGUGUUGUAUGAGUUAGACGGUUAUGGUUUUGGUGCUUCAUGUCCUGGUUCUGGUGCUUUAUGGCAUGGUUUAUCUCUUUAAUUAGAACCUGAACUAUCAUCUUGUUGCGACGAGACCGUUCCAUAGUUGUCUUGCUCAUCGGACAUGACUUGAUAGGGAUCUUCUCCUUGAAUUUCUUCAUCUAAAUAACACUCAAUAGACUCCAUAAUUUCUCAUGUCUUCGUGAUAGAAAAAUCUUGCACAAGCAAAAUAAAGAUGUAUCAAAAGUAAAUCAACAAAUAAGUAAUAUACUUAAGUAAAAAAAAAAUGGAAGUUCUUUUUUUUUUUUUAAAUAAAUCCAAAAAUUCAAAUAGCAAAAGGAAAAAUUCAGUUUUUAAUUUAUUUUCUCGCUUUAUAUAAAGAAAAAUCGAAAAUUUAUUUAGAAGAACAAAAAUAUGUUUUCUUAUGGCUUUUUCUUUUAAUAAAUCCAAAAUAAAUAAGAAAAUGAAAUAGAUCAAACUUUUUUUUUUAUUAUAAAAUAAUGAAGCAAAUAACAAAAAAAAAGCAAGAAAUGUUGUAAACUAAAGAGAAGAGAGGUGAAUUCGUGAUACCUUUACUCAUUAGCAUAGAGUCCUUAAUAUAAGGACUAGAAGAAAAUCCGGGCUACGCCCGAUACGUAUUUGAUCAUUUAGUUUUAGCUUUUUAUAUGUUUUUUUUUAAAUGAUAGAUGAAUAUUGGCGAAUGAAGAUACACUUUCAAUCGUUGGAAGUAGAAGGACACGAAGUGGAGAAACCUCCACUAUGAUAGAUUUGCUAGAACUCUAAGAAUGUACAUAGAAGGUUUUGGCUUUACCGAAUGUGUUUGCAGGCGAGAAAGUCAUUACUCGGUAAAAAUAUAGAGUCUACUGUAGUAAUUGCGCUUGCGUCUUCAUUAAAAAUGGCAUCUUUUACCUCUAGCACGAGCACUCCACCAGCAUCAUCAUAGUCAAGUAAAAUAUUGCUUUAACAGAAAGUAAUAUUAUGAUUCUCAUUAAGAUCAAAAUUGUACAAUUUUUUCAAAUCACUUGGAAUUCCACUUUGAAUACGCCCCCUAAAUAACUUUAGAAUCUUUUAACACUGAAUAUGGUAAUAAACGCAAACAGUUUGAUAACUUGGUAUAAAACAAAUAAAAAAAAAAAUAGAUGAACAAAGAGACUGGUUUUCGAAUAUUCAUUUUUUGAUAACAUAUAGAACAUAAAGAGAAGUCCUUACCACCAGUCGUUCGUUGCCUAUAGUGUGGUAAAGCCAAAUUUCACAGCUAAGUCUGGAAAGGAAAAAUAUUUAUGAAACAGUUAAGAGUGCAUAAAAUUUUCAAUCUUUGAAUCCCGCAGAUUAACUUAUGGGUGAUUUGAUUGCAGACUUUGUAGUGACGACGAUGGUGAACGUAGCAGAGAGGUAGAAAUAUUUGGAGAUGAACGUAGUUAAGAGAACUUGAGGAAGUGAAAGGAAGUUGAGUAGGUUCAUCUUUCACUGUAAGAGGAGUUGCAACUCAAUAGUAGAAAAAAAAUCAUAUAUACAUUAAAGAAAAACUCAAUCUUUCUAAGAAGUGAAAACCCUUAACCUUGUAUUAUCAACAACCAAUCAGACUCAAUUGACAGAGCUGUGUGAUGGGAAGGUAGUGGUAACUACAUUUGUAGUAGCAGAAUUGCAGAUCUCGAUUUCAGAAGAAAUUGUAGCAGAGUAUCAAAAGGAGAGCUUAAGAGGAAAAAUCUAAGGUGUGAAUCAUGGGAUCUAAUUCUCAAGGGUAGAUGGAGAGAGAACUGUAGAGGAAGAUAGAGACGUAUAUAACUUUAAAAGAGAGAUUUUUUAUGGAAGAAAGAGUUAAUCAUGGUGUUGGUGUAACUGAUGAACAUGGCGAGUCUCUCCGUUGACUAAGAAGUGUGAAUAUUAAAACGUCAUUUUUGGAAGAAAUGGGACUAAACUUUUUCUUAUGCCAUGUGGCAUCCUCUAAAAUGAUUUAGGAAAGCGGAUGUGGCUUGCUUUAGGAGCCUCAAAUAACCCCUUUAUUAGUAAGUAAUUGAUACAAGGGAGGAAAGUAAAACCUAAAACAAAUAGGAAAAGAUUAAACCUGCUCAAUAUUGGACGGACCGGGCUUGAAUAUGGGCCGAGCCGGACUGGGCUUGUUAUGAAAAUCCACCAUAUGAUUUAUAACACUCCCCUUUGGAUGUAAUAACCGUUAGAGCUUCUAAUAUGCUUUGGAUGUUGCCUCAUUAAAACCUUACCAGGAAAACCCGAUGGGAUAAAACCGUGGUGAAGGAAAAAGAGUACAACACGUCUUACUCCCCCUGAUUUGAAUCUCACUUAAGAUCUUUCAACCGGCGCAUUCCAAUUUGACGUGUAAUUUUCUUGAAAGUAAAGGUUGGAAGCGACUUGGUGAAUAGAUCUGCCACAUUGUCACAUUAUUUGAUGCGGACAUCAGAACUAGAUCAAACCGGGAGCACACCAAACCGGUUUACAUGGAGAAUUUUGGAGAAUCUUUGCCUAAAUGGAGUUCUGAUCAAGUACAAGACGAAGGGUUAAUUAUUCACCAUGAUAUUAACCCUAAGAAGUCGGACAGUUCAAGAGGGAUCAAAAAUCAGCAAGUCAAAUCACCUUAUUAUUGGGAUAUGACUGUUGCACUCUUUUUCCCUUAUCUAGGGUUUGUCCCAAUGGGUUUACCUACAAAGGUUUUUAAUGAGGCAACAUCAAGUCAUCAAGGAAUCAUUCACCAUCCAUAUGAUUCAAAGAUGAUAGCUGAUGUACAUUCUGAUCUACUCGCGGACAAGCAUGCUGAACUACUCGCUGGCAAGCAUGCUGAAUUACUCGCUAACCGACUGCCUGAACUACUCGCUAACCGACUGCCUGAACUACAUCAGAUUGCGAGCUGUGAGGAUUUGAAGUCUUUUAACACUUGGAUCAGCCAUGAAGGUAGCCCACACAGUCAUUUGAUUCACUGCAAGGCCCUAGCCCAUGGAGAACAUCCCAAGAGAAGACCCAAGUCCAAACAAUUCUUUGAAUCAAGGUCGUUGAUCUACUUAGAGCGAUAUAAGGAAACUCUCCUUUACUUUCAUGAAGACGUGUUCCAAAGCUGAAUAUGGAAACUAAGAGAACUUGUAGGCCACACAAGACUUGUCCCACACGAUCUUUGGUACACCUUACCACACAAGAAGUCGAUGAGUCACUACUUGCCAUACAUGGGGCAAAAGGAGAUCAAGCUCCAAAGACUCCUUCCUUAUUCACUUAUGCACGUCUUGAAGCUUCCUACAAUGAACCUAGACACCCCAAGGAGUCAUGGAUUCACACCCAAGCUUUCAAGACUCAAGGCAUAUCUCUACUUGCCUUAUUUUGCCGAUUUGGUUCAUAACGUCCCAACGGCAAGUGUAAUUAAUUUUGAGCGAUUUGUUUCUUGUUUUACAUUAUUAGGACGUGUAGCUGAGCCUAUAUAAGCUCAUUAGAUUGUUCAUUUGUAAUUACCCUUGAUCAAUUUAAAGUAAAAGAAAGUUUUAUUCUUGUCAAAGUUUGAGUCUUUGUCAUUGUUCUUCAUUAAUCUUAAGUGAGCGAGUCUCUUAAGUCUAUUGGAACCUGCGGAUUAAGUUUGUUGAGUGAUUCAACAUCCUUUAUUUGUCCAUUGAUCGAGUGAGUCGAUUAUCCCACCGAUUGAGCGUAUCAAUCACCGGAACUAUCCCCUGAACCACCCGCUGAUUCACGAGAGAGUGCUUCUGGCCAGCUCGUGAAUUCCACCUUGCGCAAGCUAAGUUUGGAAUCACUUGGUCAUCAAGUGAUCUAAAGUUUGGAGUGAUUCCAAUCUUGCAUCAUGAUUGAACUUGUUCCACUUGGAACUCUUCGGCUUUAAGUUGCGUUGUCUUCAAAUAUGAUGGUCUUUGAUUUAGUAGUAGAUGCGCCUUAAAGAAGGCUGCCUACGUACCCUUGGAAGGGAUCAAACCACAAGUAGUUCCUAUUCAUUGACCAUGCCAUGAUCUGAUCUUAUGAAUAACCUGCAUCAGUCAAUCAAACUAAACCAAAGCAAACUGGACCUACUUUGGUUAGAUCAGUAUAGAGUAAAACCCAAGUAAACAACGCAGGAAGAAUAGACUUUAUAACUUUACCAAACCUUCUUUUAAACCUUUCCAGUGCCUUUGGGUUGAUCAUGAACUAGAUUUAGACAGGAGACUCACGGUAAAACAAAUGUUUGGUCUAGUGUGUCUAGCCAAAUUCUUUAGAACUCCUAUGGCAUUGAGAUAUGGCAUUUACGGACUGAAUGGAUCACUAUCCAAUAUGAGGCUUCUCACCCACCAUUGGGCCUGGUCAAUGGGCGGGCCCGGUUCUUAUUAAAUCUCCAUGAGUAUUCUUUCAGUAUAUGCCAUUUGAUGCAAAAGGAUUCCAUUAUUCACGUACUCAAGUAGUAAUCCGUAACAGAACUUAAUUAUUGCCUAGGUCUUUCAUUUCAUAAUCUUUGUUUAGAUAUAUUCAACUGUUUGGUCGAUUACCUAGAGGUUUAAAUCAUUCAUAUACACUGCUAUGAUUACAAAUCUUUUGUUUGCAAACCUGUUUAUGAAUGUACAUGGACUGAUGUGAUUAUUUAUAACCUUACAUACGCCCACUUAGUCUAAGUCCAUGAAAGGAUUUGUCCAGCCUUAUGCACUGCUGUUAUCGAGAACCUUUCUUAUCUUUGAGCUCAAUACCCUCUGGUAAUUUCAUAUAUUAUCCAGUGGACUUAUAUAAAUAUGCAGGCAUUACAUCCAUUAGCCGCAAAUCGAUUUUUUCUCUUUUAUAUAGCCAGACUUAGCAAAAAUUUAAAUGUCUUAGCAUCCACCACAGGGGAGUAUAUCUCCUCAUAAGCCGUGCUUUAUAUCUCUAAAUUUUUCCAUGUUCAUUUUUUUCACAAAGACCUAUUUAUGUCCAACUGGUUUAAUAUCAAGAGGUGUCCGGAUUAUUGGACUAAAUACAUUCCUCUUCUUUAAUGAAUUCAACUCCACAUUUAUAGCUUCUUUCCAUUUAAUCCAAUCUGAUCGUCGAGUGCACUCUAAUAUGGACGUGGGUUUUAGAUCCUCGCUUAUUUCAUUAAUUUUUAGUGCUACCUUGCAUGCAAUAUAUUAUCAAUGUCGACAUUCUUUCGGUUCCAUUUUAUCCUGGACAUAACAUAAUUGAUCGUGAUCUCAUUAUUAUCAAGAACUUCAUCAGUACCUUGAAACUUGGCGUCCCAAGCCUCAUUGUUAGGUAUCUGAGGUUCGGUUAUGCCUCGGGUAACCACAGUUUUCUCAACCUCGGAUUCAUUCUUAGCACCUCUUUAUUUUUCGAGGGUUCUUAUCUUUGGAACCUAUUGGUCUACCACGUUUCAUACGUGCCUUAGACUCUGUAGCAACUUGAUUGUGUCCUUCCUAAACAUCAAUAUGUAUUGGUGCAUUUAUAAAUAGUAUAUGUGACUUAAUCACUCUAUUCGGGUCAGCAAAGAAAUCUGGCAAUUGAUUAGCUAGCUUUUGUAUUAGCUUUUGGACUUCUAAUUCAAAUUUCAUAGUCCAUAAUAAGGAUGAUUGAUUCUAUGUAAUUUCCUUUACCAGCUUAUUAUUAUCUCCCCUUAAUGGUGGGUUAUUGGUUUCAUCAAAAUGACAAUACUCGUACUUGGCCUUGAAUAAAUCAACCGUGGUCGGCUCAAGCUACUUAUUUAUUAUGGAAUAUUCAUAUCCAAUAUAUAUCCCCAUCCUCUUUUGAGUAUCCAUCUUAGUUCUUUGUGGUGGAGCUCAAUUGGUAUAUAUACGGCACAUCCAAAUGUCUUAAAAUGGAAAAUGUCUGGGUCAUGACCCUUAAGUAAUUGUUUUGGGGAAUAUUUAUUUUCAUUAGAUGACCUGAUGCGAAUAAAUUCAGCUGCAUGUAAGACAACAUGUCCCCAAGCUGAGAUUGGGAGUUUUGAUCUCAGAAACAAUGGUCUAGCAAUUAGCUGUAUGCGUUUUAUAAAUGAUUCAGGCAGACCGUUUUGUGUAUGUACAUGUGCCACAAAAUGUUCUACACUUACCCCCAUGGACAUACAAUAAGCAUUAGAAACUUAGGACGUAAGUUCACCAACAUUAUCUAGACGUAUAGUCUUUAAUCACUUUGACUGGUGAUGGCCUUUUCAUGAGUUUCCCUUGUGAACAUGCUACACAAGUGAGAUUCUUUGGGAUAACUCUACUUUCUUUCAAUGUGUGUCCAUUUGUAUUUAAUAUCAAUUUUCGCAUUACACUCGAUCCGGGAUGGCCAAGCCGAUCGUGCCAAAGAGUGAAUCUCUCGGUAAUCUCUUUGUUUCCCGUGGCAUUAGCUUCUAUCAUAUUAGCCUUAGCACAGUAAAUGCCUUUAAUACUUUCUUAUGACCUUUUAUAUUUUCUUAUGACUUUUAAUACUUUCUCAUGGCCUUUAAUACUUUCUUAUGACCAUUUAUACUUUUUUAUGAUCUUGGCCGUUUUCAAAUAUUAUUAGGAACUCUUUAUUUCUUUCGCCCUUAGUUUCAAAAAUAAUAAUCAUAUAUUCAAUAUUUAAAUAAAAGAUCCUCUAAUUUAUUAAGUUCAAAACAAUAUCAAAAAAAUUCAAAGCAAUAAUAGAGAAUAAAUUCAAAGCAAUAAAACUUUAAAAGCAAUCAUGAAGGCAAUCAUAAAAACAAUCAUGAGAAUCUUGAUGUCGAAAUUAUAUUGGUUAUUCUAAGCAAUCGGGAGUCUCAUAUGCCAUAAGAUCAUUUUUGUCAUGAUCAAAAUCAUCUUUAUUAUCAUAGUGGAUGAUAAGUCUGUAUUUCAUUGCUUUUUGAGUAUGCAUUCAUCAUCUAUUCAGCAUCAUUCACUUGUUGAUUCGCAUCAUAUUGAUCCCUUUCUGCAUGUUUUACAUACUUAGGUAGGUUUUAUGCAUAUCAUGCAUAUCAUGCAUAUCUUGCAUACAUUGUCCAUAUUUGGAGUGUUUCAGGUACUUAGGAGACAUGCAGGGCGAAGCAGAGGAACAAGCGUUACUCGACAUGCACACGAUCGAGUGGGACGAUCGAGUGAGAAGCAUGGAUGCGUUGCAGUUACAUUGACGUUCGAGUGAGCAGCAGACGUAUACGAUCGAGUGGCAGAUCGAGCAGAAGGGAAGCGAAGCAGAACUACCUGUCACUCGAUGCACUCACUCGAGUGACAUGAUCGAGCAAAGCAAAGAAGUAGCUGAUGGUUUUACAGGUCACUCGACCCACUCACUCGAGUGACACGAUCGAGAAAGCAGAGAAGAUGGUCACUCGAGGUGCUCACUCGACCAACUUAGUCAAAACAACCUUUGAACCGCUUUUACGUUGUCGUUUUAUGUUUUAAGGUUUUCCCAAACAUUGUUAUAAAUAGGCUUCAUUUGGAUUGCCCAAGGGAUAUCGAGUUUUUUAUUAGGUUUUUGUUGUUAGCCACCAAACAAUCCAGAAAAUUGUAAUUCAUAUUUCUUUUGAGUUAUUGAGAUUUUGCAACUAGUUCUGAAAUCAUUGUUGUUACUCUUCCUAUCAUCCUUAUUAUUAUGCAUGUUUUGAACGAUUCUUGUUUCAUGAUGUUUAACAUGAUUUCUGCGUCUGAGUAGUGUUAGGGUUCUUGAGGAUGGGAUAGAUUAGGUGGAGGAUGUUAGUUUGCUAGAGUGUUUAUGUUAGAUUCGUUUGUUUCCCUUCUGGACUAGAGUUUUAUUAGCUAGUUCUUCUCUGAUCAAUUGGAACUGGGUCAUGGACAUUUCAUACCCGAAAGGUAUAUGAUGAAAUGUCUGAACCAACUAGUGCCAGAGAUUUACAUGCUUAGCCCAAGAGAUUGGUUGUCUAAGAUGUUUAUUGACAUUAAUGAGCUGUUUCUUUAUGCCUGUUUACUGCAUGUUUCAUCAAUGAGAAUUGAGAUUAGGAAGUGUUGUAAACUUGAUAGUUUCUGCCAAGAGAUUGGAUUGACUAGUAUUAGAAGUUCAUUGUCUAGGGAUUAGAAUGUUUGCAGUUUGAUAAACACUCGAAGUAGAUUAGCAUACUCCACCUACAUCAAUAACCUCAUCCUCGGGAUCUUCUAUCCAUUUGUGCUUUCUGUUUAAUUCUCUUGUUAUUUACUUAGUCUGCUUUGUUUUCUUGCCAGUAUCAAUAAUCGUUACGUUUUAGUUUAUGCAUGGUAGUCUAUGUUUUACAGCUUUACAUUUAUCGCAUGUUUAACAUGUUCGUUUAGGAUCAUUGAAAACCAAAAAUCAUUUAUGCUUUCUUGACUUAAUCAUUUCUGAUAUAUCUUGAUUGCUAGCAUCACACCUGAUUGGAUUGAUACCUAUUGUACUGCAAUGACAUGAUAGUACUCUAGGGUAAUUGAUAGAAAAAUCCUAGUAUCAAUUUGGCGCCGCUGCCAUUUGGGUGUUUGUGUGUUACAUUUGAGAUUUCAGACUUGCUAAGAUCAAGUUUUUACUCAACAUUCACUACAGUUACUCACUCUGUUCCUUCUGUUUGUCUAUUGAUUCAGGUACAACUCUUGCUCAACUGCUCCUACUCGACUGACACACUCAACCGAUAAGAAAGAUAAGCUGAUUUGAGUUGUAUGCACACACGGUCGCAAGGCACAGAGAACUUGUUCCAGCCCUCCGACCGUAUUGAUCGCUUGGUACCUGCAUCACGACAGCAACGCAACAGAGUUACACCACCCCAAGUGGAGAUGGAAAACAUUCCACCACCACAACCACCACGGGCACCUACACGGAUUGGAGCUGGUGAUGCUCCACGCAACCAUACCCAUCGUCAGGGUAUAGUGCCUCCAGCCGUGGCGAACAACAACUUUGAGAUCAAGAGUGGUCUGAUCUCCAUGGUCCAGCAGAAUAAAUUUCAUGGUCUGCCUAUGGAAGACCCCCUGGAUCACCUUGAUGAGUUUGAUCGUCUCUGCAGUCUCACCAAGAUCAAUGGGGUCAGUGAGGACGGUUUCAAGCUACGUCUCUUUCCAUUCUCUUUGGGUGACAAAGCUCAUCAAUGGGAGAAAACUCUUCCUCCAGGAUCUAUCACUUCCUGGGAUCAAUGCAAGCAGUCGUUUCUUGCCAAGUUUUUCUCCAACUCUAGAACUGCACGUCUGCGCAAUGAGAUCUCUGGGUUCACUCAGAAGAAUGGUGAAACGCUUUGUGAAGCCUGGGAACGCUUCAAAAGUUAUCAGUCUCAGUGUCCCCACCAUGGUUUCACCAAGGAGUCUCUCCUCAGUACUCUUUACCGGGGUGUUCUCCCAAAGAUCCGGAUGUUGCUUGACACUGCCAGCAAUGGCAACUUUCUGAACAAGGACGUUGACGAAGGUUGGGAGCUUGUUGAAAACCUAUCCCAAUCUGAUGGCAACUACAAUGACGAUUAUGAUAGAACCAUCAGGGCAAGCACAGAUCUUGAUGAGAAGUACAAGAAGGAGAUGAAGGUUGUGAAUGACAAGUUGGACAAGCUAUUGAUGAGCCAGCAGAGGAACAUCCAUUACGUCUCUGAAGACGACCCUUUCCAGACUCUGAAUGGGGAGGGAGAACAAUCUGAGGAGAUAAGCUAUGUCCAGAACCAAGGUGGAUACAAUAAGGGAUACAAUCCUUAUAAGCAGAAUCCAAAUCUGUCCUAUCGGAGCACCAAUGUUGCAAACCCCCAGGAUCAGGUUUAUCCACCUCCACAACAGCAGCAGCAGGGGCAGAACAAACCAUUUGUGCCCUACAACCAAGGUUAUGUGCCCAAACAACAAUUUCAGCAAGGUUACCAACCUCCAGCAGGACCACCACCAGGAUUCCAACCUCAACAUGCUCCGCCUCCUCAGGCACCAGAUCAAGACAUGAAAAACAUGCUUCAGCAACUCCUACAGGGACAAGCAAGUGGCUCCAUGGACAAUGCUAAGAAGUUUGCUGAGCUGACUCAGAGAUUGGACUGCUCAUACAAUGAUCUGAACAUGAAGAUUGAGACUCUGAAUUCCAAGAUCAAGUAUAUGGAGGGUAAAACUGCUUCUACUUCUGCCCCAAAGCCGGGUCAACUCCCAGGAAAAGCUGUUCAGAAUCCUAAGGAGUUUGCUCAUGCCAUCACGCUGAGGAGCGGUAAAAACUUGCCUCCCAGACAAGGACCUGUUGUAGUCACUGAGGACAGUGAAGACUUGGAAGGGGAGGAUGUAUGUCAGAAUGAAGAUCCGGUUGUUCCUUUGGAAGAAUCAGGAGUCGUACCUGAAGAAGUUCCUCAACCUGCUGAGAAACAUGCUGAAACACCUGCAGCAUCCAAGGAUAAGCCUGCGCGAUACGUUCCCCCACCAUACAAACCACCUCUACCAUUUCCAGGACGAUUCAAAAAGCAGCAAGCUGAGAAGUAUAAGGCUUUAUUUGAAAAGCAAUUGAGAGAGAUUGAGUUGAGAAUGCCAUUGCUGGAUGCAUUCGCACUUGUCCCUCCUUAUCAGAAGUUCCUCAAAGAUUUGGUUAUGGAGAGAACAAAAGAAGUCCAGGGAAUGGUGAUAUUGAGUCAUGAAUGCAGUGCCAUUAUCCAGAAGAAGAUCACUCCCUUGAAGCUUAAAGAUCCUGGAUCUUUCACACUACCCUGCUCACUAGGCCCCCUAUCUUUCAGCAGAUGCUUAUGUGAUCUUGGAGCUNNNNNNNNNNNNNNNNNNNNNNNNNNNNNNNNNNNNNNNNNNNNNNNNNNNNNNNNNNNNNNNNNNNNNNNNNNNNNNNNNNNNNNNNNNNNNNNNNNNNNNNNNNNNNNNNNNNNNNNNNNNNNNNNNNNNNNNNNNNNNNNNNNNNNNNNNNNNNNNNNNNNNNNNNNNNNNNNNNNNNNNNNNNNNNNNNNNNNNNNNNNNNNNNNNNNNNNNNNAUUCCUAGCCACUGCUGGAGCUAUCAUUGAUGUUAAGAAGGGGAAGAUAGACUUAUGCUUGGGAGAAGACUUCAAGAUGACAUUUGACAUCAAGGAGUCUAUGAAGAAACCAACAAUCAAUGGCAAGGUGUUCUGGAUAGAGGAGAUGGAUCAGCUAGCUGAUGAACUUUUAGAAGAACUUGCUGAGGAGGAUCAUCUCAAGACAGCCUUGACAAAGAGUGGAUCAGAUGGAUUUCUUCAUGCUGAGACCAAGGUCUACGAAACGUUACUGGAUACCUACAAGGCAACUGAUGAUUCAGAACGUUUUGAGGAAUUGGAUAAGUCUGUCAAGGAGGUAUGCACAGUAGAGGAGGAAGUCAGUGGCAGCCCGAUGACUCACCAUGCUGUUGAUCCUGUCAAUGCGGUUGAUGAUGACUGGUCAGAGUUAAAAGCUCCCAAGGUUGAGCUCAAACCGCUACCCUCAGGACUGAGGUAUGUAUUCCUUGGAUCCAACUCUACUUAUCCUGUCAUUGUGAAUGCUAGCUUGAGUAAUGAGGAAUUAGAGUUGCUAGUCACUGAGCUUAGAAAAUAUAGAAGGGCCAUAGGUUAUUCCUUAGAUGAUAUCAAGGGGAUCUCACCUAGUCUCUGCAUGCAUAGGAUUAAUCUGGAAAAUGAAUCAUACUCUAGUAUUGAACCUCAAAGGAGAUUGAAUCCUAACCUUAAGGAAGUUGUGAAAAAAGAAAUUCUUAAACUGUUGAAUGCUGGGGUUAUCUAUCCUAUCUCUGAUAGUACUUGGGUAUCCCCAGUGCAUUGCGUACCUAAGAAAGGAGGGAUUACAGUGAUAAAAAAUGAAAAAGAUGAAUUGAUCCCCACUAGGACUAUCACUGGCCAUAGGAUGUGCAUUGAUUACAGAAAACUGAAUGCUGCAUCUAGGAAAGAUCAUUUCCCGCUUCCUUUCAUUGAUCAAAUGUUAGAACGAUUAGCCAAUCAUCCCUACUACUGUUUCCUUGAUGGGUAUAGCGGAUUUUUCCAAAUCCCUAUCCACCCAAAUGAUCAGGAAAAGACUACGUUCACUUGUCCAUAUGGCACAUUUGCCUACAGACGCAUGCCUUUUGGUUUGUGUAAUGCACCUGCAACAUUUCAGAGGUGUAUGACCUCUAUAUUCUCGGAUUUGAUAGAGGAGAUGGUGGAGGUGUUCAUGGAUGAUUUUUCCGUGUAUGGCUCCUCCUUCUCCUCAUGUUUGUUAAAUCUCUGCAGGGUAUUAGCAAGAUGUGAGGAGACAAGCCUGGUGCUCAACUGGGAGAAGUGUCACUUCAUGGUGAACGAAGGGAUAGUGUUGGGACACAAGGUAUCAGAGAAAGGGAUUGAGGUUGAUAAGGCAAAGAUUGAGGUCAUGGUGCAGUUGCAGCCUCCCAAGUCAGUNNNNNNNNNNNNNNNNNNNNNNNNNNNNNNNNNNNNNNNNNNNNNNNNNNNNNNNNNNNNNNNNNNNNNNNNNNNNNNNNNNNNNNNNNNNNNNNNNNNNAAGAUUCAUCAAGGACUUCUCAAAAAUUGCAAGACCCCUUACAAGACUGCUGUGCAAGGAGGUCGAGUUUGUUGUUGAUGAGAGCUGUCUGGAAGCUUUCAACAAGAUCAAGGAAGCGUUAGUCUCAGCACCAAUAGUCCAAGCUCCAGACUGGGAUCAUCCUUUUGAGAUAAUGUGUGAUGCCUCAGAUUAUGCAGUAGGGGCUGUGUUGGGACAGCGAAUAGAGAAGAAACUGCAUGUCAUCUACUAUGCGAGCAGAACCCUUGAUGAGACACAAGGGAGAUAUGCAACAACAGAGAAAGAGCUCUUGGCUGUAGUCUUUGCGUUUGAGAAAUUCAGAAGUUACUUGGUGGGAUCAAAAGUGGUAGUCUACACAGACCAUGCUGCGCUUAGACAUAUAUACUCCAAGAAGGAUACCAAACCAAGACUGCUGAGAUGGAUACUUCUACUCCAGGAGUUUGAUAUGGAGAUUGUUGACAAGAAGGGGAUAGAGAACGGCGUUGCUGAUCACCUGUCCAGAAUGAGAAUAGAAGAUCCAAUCCCUAUUGAUGACUCUAUGCCUGAAGAACAUCUCAUGGUUGUUGAGAUAUGCAAGAAGAUGCAUCAAACAGGAAUGGCUAUGAAGGAGCUUCAAUGUCUAGCAGUCAAUUCAGAGAGUAUGCCUUGGUAUGCGGAUGUGGUUAACUACAAAGUCUGUGGAGAGAUUCCUGCAGACAUGGAUCCUUAUAGGAAAAAGAAGUUUUUCAGAGAUGUCAACCACUACUUCUGGGAUGAACCUUACCUGUACAAGAGGGGUUCAGAUGGACUGUUUAGGAGAUGCAUAGCAGAAGGAGAAGUACAGGGAGUACUUGAGCACUGUCAUGGAUCCACAUAUGGAGGACACUUCGCUACAUUCAAGACAGUUCAGAAGGUUCUGCAAGCAGGCCUUUGGUGGCCAACGUUGUUCAAGGAUACAAACAGUUUCAUCACCAAGUGUGACGCCUGCCAGAGGAUGGGUAACAUCAACAGAAGGAAUGAGAUGCCUCAGAACCCGAUUUUGGAAGUAGAAAUUUUUGAUGUUUGGGGAAUUGAUUUCAUGAGACCGUUCAACCCUCCAUCAAACGGCAAUGCCUACAUUCUGGUCGCAGUUGAUUAUGUUUCAAAAUGGGUUGAAGCCAUUGCAAGUCCCACCAACGAUCAUAAGGUUGUUCUGAAACUGUUCAAGAGCAUCAUCUUUCCCAGGUAUGGAGUACCGAGAGCAGUGAUCAGUGAUGGUGGUACACACUUCAUCAACAAGGUUUUUGAAAGCAUGUUGAAGAAGUAUGGUGUGAAGCAUAAGGUGUCUACAGCCUACCAUCUCCAGACAUGUGGACAAGUUGAGGUCUCCAACAAGCAGAUAAAAGGAAUCUUGUCAAGAGUUGUUGGGGCUUCGAAGAGAGAUUGGUCUACCAAGUUGGAUGACACUCUAUGGGCGUAUAGGACAGCUUUCAAGACACCAAUAGGAAGAACGCCUUUUCAGUUGGUGUAUGGUAAAGCAUGUCAUCUCCCUGUGGAGAUUGAGUAUAAGGCGCUUUGGGCUAUCAAGCUUCUGAACUUGGACAUUGAUGCAGCGCAGGCAAAGAGAGUUCUUGACAUCCAUGAACUUGAGGAAAUCAGACUUGAUGCCUUCGAGAGUUCCAAAAUCUAUAAGGAGAGAACCAAGGCUUUUCAUGAUAAGAAGAUUGUCGUUAAGGAGCUUAAGGCUGGAGAUCACGUCUUGCUGUUCAAUUCCAGACUAAAACUGUUCCCUGGAAAGCUCAAGUCUAGAUGGUCUGGACCAUUUGAAAUCAAAGAUGUUUUGCCAUUUGGUGCGAUCACUCUUCUGAACAAAGAUGGCAGCGAGUUCACUGUGAACGGUCAACGUGUCAAGCGUUACCUAGCUGAUCAAGAGACACCAGAGGGGUCCUCCAUACCUCUCUAUGAGCCCCCCAAAGCCUAAAAGGCAUAAAAGUCAAGCUUAGUGACUUUAAACAAGCUCACUUGUGAGGAAGUCCCAAAGGUAUCCCUGUACAUAUGUUUUAGGAUUUUUUUUUGUGUUUUUGAUUUUUGUUUUUGGUUUUCUGUUGGUCAGGAUUUCAGAUAGAAGGAGUAAUGCAAAACAGAGUGAGGUGGGGAUACAGAAUCGAGUACGAUAAGUGAAAAAUAUAGAAGGGGGGAGUUAAUUAUUUGGGAGUGAUUGAGUUGAGUUUAAAAAAAAAAAAAAAAAAAAAAAAAAAAAAAAAAAAAAAAAAAAAAAAAAAAAAAAAAAAAAAAAACUCACUCGACACACCCAAACCACACAUACCUUAUCUUCACUCGACCUAAUCACUCUCUCAUCACCCUCACUCGAUUUCAUCACUCAACCAUUUUCACUCCUUUCAUCGAUUUCAUCACAUCCUUUCUCUCAUCUCUCUCUCACUCGACUAUAUCCUCUCAACCUUCACUCGAUUAAGAGCUCGCCGUGACCGACGCUUGACUCACUCGACGGAAGCUUCACCACUCGACCAACCGUCGGAGCAUCCUGUUCACUCGACCGUGUUCACUCGAGCUCGCCGAUUCUCCAUCUCUCGCCUCUUCACUCGACCGACAAGUCAAACCACCGUCCUGUUUCUCGCUUCACUCCACGGACUCCACUCGACCCACCAUCUCAUCACCACCACCACUCGAGCUCCAUCCCCAACCGACAAGUACUCGACCCACGUUGUCUUCACCGGUGCUACUCGACCGGAUAGCUUCACUCGACGGUAACGCGCUCGACUCUCACUCGUUCCGCUCCGCCACCCGACCACCGGAGAUAUCAUAAGAAGCCGUCGACGCUAUCCACGCUCCGACUCACUCGACCGAACUACUCGGGCACCUUACUCGACCGUUCAAGACACAACUGGUUCACUCGACCGGGCACUCAUUUGCUCACUCGACCGAGAGUGAUAAGCGUUUGUAUCUCCACUCAUUUCUUUUGCAUUUGCUCAUUUUUCUUAGCUUUUGGAACACUAACAAACUAAUUUUUAGUUUUGAGUUCCAAUUGUUUCAGUUUCACAAUGUCAAGAGAUUUGUUGCAUGAAAUGCGUGAGAAGUAUGGUUGUAAACCAACAGAGCGUGCAUCCCCUCAGUCUAUGUCCAAGGUUUAUAUGGAGAAGAAGAAAGCUGCAUAUGAGAGAGCGUCUGGUGUUGGUCCUUCUCAGGCAAGAAGCAGAGCUAAGUCUUCGGGUAAGAAACCAAUGGAGCUGCAGGAUGAUGAUAGUGAUUAUGAGCUUGAAGAGCAUCCACCUGUCCCAGCUCGCAAGUCAGCGCCGAAGAAGAAGGCAGAGAAGUGGUUAGCCCCAGGAGAGUAUUACAAGCUGUUUCAGCAGCAUGAGUUUCAGGGCACGAGGUAUCCUUGCCAGCAGACGAUGGAUGAGCUGGCUAUCUCGAGUGAUGUCGAGUAUAUGUUCGAGCAUUGUCAUCUCAGCACACUCAUGACUAGUCCGCGAAAUACAUACCGAGAGGAGACAAUUCAGUUCCUCUGCACGCUUGCCAUUCAUCUGUAUGAGGAUGAUCCGGACAUAGAGUCGGAUGGAGGAUUGGGAUACAUCACCUUCACCAUCCAUGAUCAUGAGUAUCUUCUGACCAUCAGAGAGCUGGAAGGUUUGUUUGGAUUCCCUAAUGGAACAGGGACUGGGCAGAGGAUUGAUAGGGAUGAAUUGUUAGCUCUUUGGGAAACAAUUGGGAAUGAUAAGAAGUUCGCUUCAUCUAGGACCAAGAGCAACCACAUCAGAAGUCCAGUUAUCCGCUACUUCCAUCGAUCAGUUGCAAACGUGUUCUUCGCGAGGGAGACAACAGGGACACUGAUCAACGGGGAGCUGGAGAUGAUUGAUCUUGCACUUAAAGAUCUCUUGUUAACAGCAGUAGAUGGGACACUACUGCGAGGUGAUACGACUGAUACAUCCCCCUCGUUCACUCUGUUGCACCAGCUACUCAGUUACAGAACUUGGGUAGUGAAGCUGAGCAGCUGCAGAACUCAGGGAGUUAUGUGUAUGGGAGGGUUGGUGACAGUCAUCUUAGAAGCUUGUAGCGUCCCGCUGAGUUCAGAGCCUAUUGCACCGAGAUUCAUCGACAUUCAGAACUUGAGGCAAGCUCAAUGGUUGCAUUGGGAGAAACGCAACGGGUUGUAUAUGUAUUACUUCACUCACCCCGUACAUGGUGACGUGCGAUUUUUGCUUCCUUGUAUCGCUUUCACUAGGAUACUCGAAGGAAGCAACAUUGAGUUUACUCCCCCUGCAGAGGCUCUCUACACGACAGAUGGUGAGGAAGCAAUGGAGGUAUCUGAGAAAGAGGAUGACGAGAUGGAAGAAGAUUCAGAUGAGUAUAGACCAGAGAGGUAUCACUUCCAGGACUACACAGCGCCUAGACAAGGCAAGAGUUUGGUGGAAGCUCACAAGCGUAUCAGUACACUUCAGAAGUGGAACAUGCUGCAAGACAAGGCAAUAAAAUCUAUGAAAUCGAAGAUGAAAAGCUUCAUGAGUAAGUUUAGCUGCGCCUCCACCACCACAGCUUUUGCAGACACUACUCCGCAGGAUGCNNNNNNNNNNNNNNNNNNNNNNNNNNNNNNNNNNNNNNNNNNNNNNNNNNNNNNNNNNNNNNNNNNNNNNNNNNNNNNNNNNNNNNNNNNNNNNNNNNNNNNNNNNNNNNNNNNNNNNNNNNNNNNNNNNNNNNNNNNNNNNNNNNNNNNNNNNNNNNNNNNNNNNNNNNNNNNNNNNNNNNNNNNNNNNNNNNNNNNNNNNNNNNNNNNNNNNNNNNNNNNNNNNNNNNNNNNNNNNNNNNNNNNNNNNNNNNNNNNNNNNNNNNNNNNNNNNNNNNNNNNNNNNNNNNNNNNNNNNNNNNNNNNNNNNNNNNNNNNNNNNNNNNNNNNNNNNNNNNNNNNNNNNNNNNNNNNNNNNNNNNNNNNNNNNNNNNNNNNNNNNNNNNNNNNNNNNNNNNNNNNNNNNNNNNNNNNNNNNNNNNNNNNNNNNNNNNNNNNNNNNNNNNNNNNNNNNNNNNNNNNNNNNNNNNNNNNNNNNNNNNNNNNNNNNNNNNNNNNNNNNNNNNNNNNNNNNNNNNNNNNNNNNNNNNNNNNNNNNNNNNNNNNNNNNNNNNNNNNNNNNNNNNNNNNNNNNNNNNNNNNNNNNNNNNNNNNNNNNNNNNNNNNNNNNNNNNNNNNNNNNNNNNNNNNNNNNNNNNNNNNNNNNNNNNNNNNNNNNNNNNNNNNNNNNNNNNNNNNNNNNNNAAAACAGAGUGAUCAUGUAGCUUGCAUUUGCAUAUUAGGAUUGAGUCUAGAUUGUUUCAUGUAGGACUGUUGCAUUAGCAUAGGGGGCGAUGAUGAGUUACACCUUGUUGAUUUGCUAUGAUUCACCAGUUGAGAUCAAUGCCCUGGUUGUUAGCUUUUUGAUGCAUGAUGAUUGAACUUGAAGUAAGUCUGAAACAAACUUGGAAUUCAUGAAGAGCAUUCUUGAACUUGGUUGAAACAUGUUGUGAUAUGAUCUCAUUCCUUAUCCUAUAAGAACUUAAUCUUGAUUUGCAAAUAUCUGGUUGUGUUUUGCUUGCAUGCUCAUGGUCACCAUAUACAUAUUUGGAUCAUCUUCCUCCUUUCACCACUCUUGUUGAUCCAAGUAGCUGAUCUUUCUUUUGAUCAGUUUGCCACACCCACAGCCUAUCCUUUUCUUUCAAGCCAAUUGAUAAUUUUUGAGUGGUAGGUCUUUUACCGGAUUAUGCUUGGGGAGAACGUGUUAGGUAUGAGCCGACAGGAUUAAAAUCUUGAGUAGUUCUGAUUUUCACUUUCAAAUCAGAUAGGACUAGGUCGGGGUUCUUACUUGGGUUUGGGAUUGGAAUGAUUGUGGAAAGAAAGAAGAGAAACAGAAAAAGUUGUAUCCUUAGGAGGAGAAUGUUUUCUAGAAGUUUAUAAUCUAGUGAUUGAUUUUCGUGGGGUUAGCAUGAUAUACAGAGAAUGGUUCUGGGAUGUUAAGAAAGAGAAAAAGUUUUGAUGUCUUAUAACGUAAGAAGAAAACAGAACCAUAGUUAAGAAGAAAUCCCCUAUCCACUAGUAUUGAUAAGAAACUUCUCCUAAGGCAAAAAUCAAAAAGAAAAAAAAUGGGAUUGAUGUUGAAGGGUAGACAUAGGGAUCAUCCGGGUUUAGAUGAUUAGGAGUAAGCACUUGGGAACCAUUGGGUAGUCAAGGUUUUAUUCCUGUAUGCAUUUGUUGGUCCUUACCUUUAGCAUUCUCCCUAAAGCUCAAUCCAUUUAUUGAGAGAUCCUUGUCCUGAAAUUGUUUAAACCCUCAUGAUUCUCAAAACCUUUUUCUGCCCAGCCAAGUGAGUUUGUUAAGCCUUGCACAACCG
rnacentral:lncRNA from 1 species